CUUUGGUGCAGAUGUGAACUGAAGGUUGGAAAAGUGUCAGAAUGUGUCCGGGCUCGGAGAUGACUGUAGAAGAUAUGAAGGAGCCGGUGCUGAUGACAGCCAGGAUCAUGCUGCGCUUAUUUUAACCCAAGAUCUCACUCCAUGUCCAAUGACUGGACUGUCAUGGAGAUUUACGGAUGGACUCAUUGGACUUGGACCGGGAAGCAACAACCUGGGACAACCUCAGCGUUGCGCUGGUACAUGAAGCUUUGAGAAACAGAUCCGCCUCACAUCUGGGUGUCGUGCUGUAACGAAGGAUCGAUGAUGAUGGGCUGAAGGCUUGGGACCCAGAUGGCUACUGGAGGAAUGGCAGAACUGAGCAUCUCCUGCUGUUUACAGCUGUUCCUCAUCAAAGAUCCUCUUCCCUUGAAGGCAUGUGAAUAGCGUUUAUGAAAAUGGCACCACAAGCACAUGUUGGAUGAAUCGGAGAAGGUGAUUAACCAUCGCAACACAACCACGUUCAUCAAAAUGUUUCACAAGUCGUCAGUCACAUGGGUUGAGCUGGUCUACUUUACGCUGGCUU